rnacentral:rRNA from 1 species
GACGAACGCUGGCGGCGUGCUUAACACAUGCAAGUCGAACGGAAAGGCCCUGCUUUUGUGGGGUGCUCGAGUGGCGAACGGGUGAGUAACACGUGAGUAACCUGCCCUUGGCUUUGGGAUAACUUCAGGAAACUGGGGCUAAUACCGGAUAGGAGCUCCUGCUGCAUGGUGGGGGUUGGAAAGUUUCGGCGGUUGGGGCUGGACUCGCGGCUUAUCAGCUUGUUGGUGGGGUAGUGGCUUACCAAGGGUUUGACGGGUAGCCGGCCUGAGAGGGUGACCGGCCACAUUGGGACUGAGAUACGGCCCAGACUCCUACGGGAGGCAGCAGUGGGGAAUAUUGCACAAUGGGCGGAAGCCUGAUGCAGCAACGCCGCGUGCGGGAUGACGGCCUUCGGGUUGUAAACCGCUUUCGCCUGUGACGAAGCGUGAGUGACGGUAAUGGGUAAAGAAGCACCGGCUAACUACGUG